rnacentral:rRNA from 1 species
AACGAACGCUGGCGGCAUGCCUAACACAUGCAAGUCGAACGAGACCUUCAGGUCUAGUGGCGCACGGGUGCGUAACGCGUGGGAACCUGCCCUUAGGUUCGGAAUAACUCCCCGAAAGGGGUGCUAAUACCGGAUAAUGUCUUCGGACCAAAGAUUUAUCGCCUUUGGAUGGGCCCGCGUUGGAUUAGCUAGUUGGUAGGGUAAAAGCCUACCAAGGCGACGAUCCAUAGCUGGUCUGAGAGGAUGAUCAGCCACACUGGGACUGAGACACGGCCCAGACUCCUACGGGGGGCAGCAGGGGGGAAUAUUGGACAAUGGGCGAAAGCCUGAUCCAGCAUGCCGCGUGAGUGAUGAAGGCCUUAGGGUUGUAAAGCUCUUUUACCCGGGAUGAUAAUGACAGUACCGGGAGAAUAAGCUCCGGCUAACUCCGUG